rnacentral:pre_miRNA from 1 species
GGUUGCCUGUGUUAGUUAUAGUUCUAACCGUAAGUCCACGUCGGAGGAGGCUGAUGAAUGAUGACGAUGUAUAGGCCUAUCU